UUUUCUAAUAUGGCAGAUUAGUGUAAUAGAUUUAAGCCCUAUAUAUGUA
rnacentral:tRNA from 1 species